GACGAACGCUGGCGGCGUGCUUAACACAUGCAAGUCGAACGAUGAAGCGGUGCUUGCACCGUGGAUUAGUGGCGAACGGGUGAGUAAUACGUGAGUGACCUACCUUUGACUCUGGGAUAAGCCUGGGAAACUGGGUCUAAUACCGGAUACGACCAAUCUCUGCAUGGGGUGUUGGUGGAAAGCGUUAUGGAGUGGUUUUAGAUGGGCUCACGGCCUAUCAGCUUGUUGGUGAGGUAAUGGCUUACCAAGGCGACGACGGGUAGCCGGCCUGAGAGGGUGACCGGCCACACUGGGACUGAGACACGGCCCAGACUCCUACGGGAGGCAGCAGCGGGGAAUAUUGCACAAUGGGCGCAAGCCUGAUGCAGCGACGCCGCGUGAGGGAUGACGGCCUUCGGGUUGUAAACCUCUGUUAGCAUCGAAGAAGCGAAAGUGACGGUAGGUGCAGAGAAAGCGCCGGCUAACUACGUGCCAGCAGCCGCGGUAAUACGUGGGGCGCGAGCGUUGUCCGGAAUUAUUGGGCGUAAAGAGCUUGUAGGCGGUUGGUCGCGUCUGCUGUGAAGGCCGGGGCUUAACUCCGGUUUUGCAGUGGGUACGGGCUAACUAGAGUGCAGUAGGGGAGACUGGAAUUCCUGGUGUAGCGGUGGAAUGCACAGAUAUCAGGAGGAACACCGAUGGCGAAGGCAGGUCUCUGGGCUGUAACUGACGCUGAGAAGCGAAAGCAUGGGGAGCGAACAGGAUUAGAUACCCUGGUAGUCCAUGCCGUAAACGUUGGGCACUAGGUGUGGGGGACAUUCCACGUUUUCCGCGCCGUAGCUAACGCAUUAAGUGCCCCGCCUGGGGAGUACGGCCGCAAGGCUAAAACUCAAAGGAAUUGACGGGGGCCCGCACAAGCGGCGGAGCAUGCGGAUUAAUUCGAUGCAACGCGAAGAACCUUACCAAGGCUUGACAUGCAUUAGAUCACGUCAGAGAUGGCGUUUCCCUUCGGGGCUGGUGUACAGGUGGUGCAUGGUUGCCGUCAGCUCGUGUCGUGAGAUGUUGGGUUAAGUCCCGCAACGAGCGCAACCCUCGUUCUGUGUUGCCAGCGGUUCGGCCGGGGACUCAUAGGAGACUGCCGGGGUUAACUCGGAGGAAGGUGGGGAUGACGUCAAAUCAUCAUGCCCCUUAUGUCUUGGGCUUCACGCAUGCUACAAUGGCCGGUACAGAGGGUUGCGAUACUGUGAGGUGGAGCUAAUCCCUUAAGGCCGGUCUCAGUUCGGAUUGGGGUCUGCAACUCGACCCCAUGAAGUCGGAGUCGCUAGUAAUCGCAGAUCAGCAACGCUGCGGUGAAUACGUUCCCGGGCCU
rnacentral:rRNA from 1 species